AGUAGAAUGGCUGAGGGAUAGGCGAUAGAUUGUAAAUCUAUAUAGGAGAUAAAAAUCUCUUCUGCUA
rnacentral:tRNA from 1 species